UACGAAGGGUGCAAGCGUUGUUCGGAAUUACUGGGCGUAAAGCGCACGUAGGCGGGCGUGUAAGUCAGAUGUGAAAGCCCCGGGCUCAACCCGGGAAUUGCAUUUGAAACUGCACGUCUUGAAUGCUUGAGAGGAUGACGGAAUUCCUGGUGUAGAAGUGAAAUUCGUAGAUAUCAGGAGGAACACCGGAGGCGAAGGCGGUUGUCUGGCGAUGCAUUGACGCUGAGGUGCGAAAGCGUGGGGAGCAAACAGG
rnacentral:rRNA from 1 species